rnacentral:rRNA from 1 species
UACGAAGGGGGCUAGCGUUGUUCGGAAUUACUGGGCGUAAAGCGUGCGCAGGCGGCUUCUCAAGUCAGGGGUGAAAGCCCAGAGCUCAACUCUGGAAUUGCCCUUGAGACUGAGUGGCUUGAGUACGAGAGAGGUGAGUGGAAUUCCCAGUGUAGAGGUGAAAUUCGUAGAUAUUGGGAAGAACACCGGUGGCGAAGGCGGCUCACUGGCUCGUAACUGACGCUCAUGCACGAAAGCGUGGGGAUCAAACAGG